CUCAAAACAACGAUCCUCCGAUCGAACGUGAAAAAUCCCGCAUUUCUCGAAUGGCUUUUAUUCGAUAAAGAUAUUUAAAGAUCGGAAUUUGCCGAUAUCGCGCUAUAUUCGGAGAAGCGAUAGGAAAAGAGAAGCUAUCAAAGGGGAGGGGAAGUUCAGGAGAGUUUAAAGCAUCUAUAUUGAAAAAGGAGAGUCCACGACGAUAGAGUCAAAUUAACAAAAUAAUCGCUUACCUUGGUCCGUCCAAAUGGGUUGCCAGUUCACAAAGGGGUUAAGUCCCGUUUAAAACUACUCGAUACACGGAUCGCCACGGAUUACAGUCUCAAGUCUCAACAAUUGUACCGCGCCUGAGAGACACAGAUACUUCUUUUCCACAAUUCGUCCAAGAUGGCGAAUGCGCGACUUUCGGCUCUUCUUCUGCGAUCAAUACAAUUACGUCAUGCAGGCCCAAACAGAGUCGCUUCUACAGACACGCCACUCGAGCGGAUUUCGCUGUCACUUUGUCGUUGCGUACGCACUUUUUAGAUUGCGUUUAUUUUCUAUCCAAUUUUAAUAAAGGAUGAGAUUGCACACUUUCAGAAUCACCGGACACGAUUUCCGCUUUUUAAGGAGAAUGAAGCGUAUCGCGAGAGUUCGUUAAUGUUUUUUCGCCUAACCGUUACUCACAGCAGGAAGAUGUAAACGGACUCCGCAGAUGUAAAGCGGCGCUGCUAUGAAAAUUCCUUUAGCCAUGCACCAAAGUCAAAUUCGUAAGAUGGCCGACGCAUGCAAUCGUAAUCUCCUAUUAAACAAUGUGAAAAUACUAUAUAAGAAAAAUAUUUCUAUAUUACAUGUUUUCAUACCAAAAUUAUUUCUAUUAAUUUAUUUUUCUUUUUUAAAUGUUCUUUAUACUUUUUAAAGUAUGCACAUUCAAUAUAAUUUUCAACAAUAACUUGAUCUUCGCAGUGGUCAUUUCACUUUUUAGAUGGCGUUGCUUUACAUAAAUUGCUGUCUUCUUUGAAAGCUCUUUGUGAUACCAGUACGUAGUUGGUAUUAUGGAACGGAUGAAUCUCUUCAAAGAUGUUGCCCAUUCGCUCCAUUCUCUGCCAGAUCUAAUUGCAACAACUCUUCCAUUACUAUCCAUAAUCGCAAGCGGAUCAUGUCUUCUCUCCGUGGAACAUUGUCGAUCGAAUUCUACUCGCAAAGCUUCUGCACCAGGAAUCUUCACAUGACCGGCCCCAUAUCCAUGAAUCUAUUAGUUGUUGGGCAGGCAUGGUAUUCUCCAUAAGUAAUGUAGUUCUUGCUGCUUCUUCGCUAUCAAUCUUUUGACAUGGACCACAAUUACAUCCAUGUUGAGGGCCACAAAUACCAUCGCAACAAAGACAGGACAAUACUUUCAUUCCACAAUAGUAAUGCCCACUUUCUCCUAAAGUUAAUAAAAAUCUUGUAAAAUAAUAU